rnacentral:lncRNA from 1 species
UUUCAAAUAACAUGAAUGGAUGAAUGGAAAAAAAUAAUGAUUAUUCACUUUUAUUUAAUUGAUAUUGAAAUAAUAAACACCUAUAAAAAUAUGUAUUAAACUCAGAAUGAAAAACAUUCAAAUGUUAUUGGACCGGCAAAUGUCAUUUUUUUGGAUUGUAUGUUGCCAGUUGCUAAGCAACCCAGAAACAAUAAUGCGUUUACUUCCCAUAAGCAUGAAAUCCAGUGAGUUUUUAACAACCAUUCCUGUUUUUUUGUAAAGAUCUUUGCUACAAUUAAUUUCAAAUGGAGUAGGUAAAUGGCGGAGGUGCAUAUAAUUGGUCAAAUUACCGAAGCAAAAGAAUUUCCAAAACAAGAACUUUUUUGUAAAUGGUAUAUUCAAAUAGAUUUGUGAAUACUAAUGAGCGCGUAUAAAUAGGAAAUAAUUGGAGGAUUAUAGAGGGCAAAAAAGAAGGACAAACCCAGGUUUCCUCGUCCCAUUUUACAGAAUCAUGCAACUGGUUAUUUCCUAUCGAUAUCCAUUUAGCCACUGCCGGAGUUAGAGCUACCCUGUAUCUCUUACCGUUUCCGAGAUCCCAAUGGUGAGAGCCGAAUUUGAAACACCCUGUGAAGUAUUAUUUCUUAUAAAAUGGCUAUUUUUUUUAUGUGAUCUGUAAUCUGUAUAUUUUAAGGUAAAACCUGUAAUAAAUGAUAUUAAAUGCGCUACUUUGUUUUCAUAAAAUUUUAUUAAAUGAUGGGAACUUUUGUUGCGGGCAGAGGCGGGCAUUUUUUUGGGAGCCACUA